CGCUGGCGGUGUGCUUCACACAUGCAAGUCGAACGAGGUAGCAAUACCUAGUGGCGGACGGGUGAGUAACGCGUGGGAAUCUGCCUUUAGAUGGGGGAUAACGGGUCGAAAGACUCGCUAAUACCGCAUAUGACGAAAGUUGAAAGGAGUAAUCCGUCUAAAGAUGAGCCCGCGUCCGAUUAGCUAGUUGGUAGAGUAAAAGCCUACCAAGGCGACGAUCGGUAGCUGGUCUGAGAGGAUGAUCAGCCACAAUGGGACUGAGACACGGCCCAUACUCCUACGGGAGGCAGCAGUGGGGAAUUUUACGCAAUGGGCGAAAGCCUGACGUAGCGACACCGCGUGAGCGAAGAAGCCCCUUGGGGUGUAAAGCUCUGUCAGCUGGAACGAAAAAAUGACGGUACCAGCAGAGGAAGCAUCGGCUAACUACGUG
rnacentral:rRNA from 1 species